GCCCAGGACGAGAAGAGCAUCUCGGAGCUGCGCGAGGACCGCAAGCUGCAGGAGAUCGCGGGCGAGGACCUGACCAAGGUUUGGCUUCUUCCAUGGCGUGAACGUAAGAAGAAGGUUGGACCUGAGUGCCGUGAGAUGGGGUCAGGCUGAGCACCGGCAGCAGGAGGAGCUGCUGCCCUGCUUCCAGAUCUCGAGUGGCUCUUGGUGAUCCCCAGCACAGCCCCACGCUACCACGUUACACCCACGGGAGCCUGAGCAGUGGUGGAGAUCUCUGGGGACCCCUCUCUGCAUCGUCCCUGCGAGGAAGGGUGACAGGGGGAGGUGGAAGUCCUGGCCCUGCUCCGUCGUGGCGCUGUGUGGGGAACAGGGGGAUCUCUGCCCUCUGCCACAAUAAACUUCUGUCAGUCCUCGG